rnacentral:rRNA from 1 species
AGCGAACGUUUGCGGCGUGCCUAACACAUGCAAGUCGAACGGGACUUAGGGGCUUGCUCCUAAGUUUAGUGGCGCACGGGUGAGUAACACGUAGCUAAUCUGCCCUAUGCUGGGGGACAACAGUUGGAAACGACUGCUAAUACCCCAUACUCCGGUAUUACAUAAGUGAUAUCGGGAAAGUUUUUCGGCAUAGGAUGAGGCUGCGGUCUAUCAGCUAGUUGGUGAGGUAACGGCUCACCAAGGCUAUGACGGAUAGCUGGUCUGAGAGGAUGAUCAGCCACACUGGAACUGAGACACGGUCCAGACUCCUACGGGAGGCAGCAGUGGGGAAUUUUACACAAUGGGCGCAAGCCUGAUGUAGCAACGCCGCGUGGAGGAUGAAGGAUUUAGGUCUGUAAACUCCUUUUAUAAGGGAAGAAAUUUGACGGUACCUUAUGAAUAAGCACCGGCUAACUCCGUG